AGCUACGGUGGCCUAGUAGUUAGAGCGUCCGCUUCGGAUGCGGGAGGCUGUGGGUUCGUACCCCGGCCGAGUCA